rnacentral:rRNA from 1 species
ACGCACCCCCACAAUGGAACUGAACACGGUCCAUACUCCUACGGAGCACAGUGAGAAUAUGCCAUGGGGAAACCCUGACGCACAACGCCGCGUGAACGAUGAAGCUUCGGGUCGUAAGUUCUUUUCUAGGGAAGAUAGUGACGUACCUUAGAAUAAGUCCCGGCUACUACGUGCCAGCAGCCGCGGUAAAACGUAGGGCGAGCGUAUCCGGAUUUAUUGGGCGUAAAGCGCACGUAGGUGGCGCUGUAAGUUAGACGUGAAAGCUCUCGGCUCAACUGAGAGAGGUCGUUUAAAACUGCAGUGCUUGAGGUUAGAAGAGGAGAGCAGAAUUCCCGGUGUAGUGGUGGAAUGCGUAGAUAUCGGGAGGAAUACCAGUGGCGAAGGCGGCUCUCUAGUCUACACCUGACACUGAGGUGCGAAAGCGUGGGUAGCGAACGGGAUUAGAUACCCCGGUAGUCCACGCUGUAAACGAUGGAUACUAGGUGUAGGGGGUCAUUUAACCCCUCUGUGCCGAAGCAAACGCGUUAAGUAUCCCGCCUGGGGACUACGGCCGCAAGGUUAAAACUCAAAGGAAUUGACGGGGGCCCGCACAAGCAGCGGAGCGUGUGGUUUAAUUCGAUGAUACGCGAAGAACCUUACCUGGGCUGAACUACGUGGUAGUAGUGAAGCGAAAGCGGAUCGACCCUUCGGGGAGCCUCGAUAGGUGCUGCAUGGCUGUCGUCAGCUCGUGUCGUGAGAUGUUGGGUUAAGUCCCGCAACGAGCGCAACCCUCGUCGCUAGUUACAAGUGUCUAGCGAGACUGCCGGUAUCAAACCGGAGGAAGGUGGGGAUGACGUCAAGUCAGCAUGGUCUUUAUGUCCAGGGCUACACACACGAUACAAUGGUCGGUACAAUAGGUUGCCACACCGUGAGGUGGAGCUAAUCCUCAAAGCCGAUCUCAGUUCGGAUUGUAGUCUGCAACUCGACUACAUGAAGGCGGAGUUGGUAGUAACCGCGCGUCAGCAUAGUGCGGUGAAUGCGUUCCCGGGCCUUGGAAAAACCGCCCGUCACAUCAUGGGAAUUGGUUACACCUGAAGUCGGUGACAUAACCGAAAGGGGGGAGCUGCAUAAGGUGGGAUCGGUAACUGG